rnacentral:rRNA from 1 species
AUACGUAGGGGGCGAGCGUUGUCCGGAAUUAUUGGGCGUAAAGGGUUCGUAGGCGGUUAUUUAAGUCAGGUGUGAAAGGCAUAGGCUCAACCUGUGUAAGCACUUGAAACUGAAUGACUUGAGUUAAGGAGAGGAAAGUGGAAUUCCUAGUGUAGCGGUGAAAUGCGUAGAUAUUAGGAGGAACACCAGUAGCGAAGGCGGCUUUCUGGACUGUAACUGACACUGAGGCACGAAAGCGUGGGGAGC